CCGACGGUGAGAGACGAAACCCUGGGGCGCAAACCGGAUUAGAUACCCGGGUAGUCCAGGGCGUAAACGCUGCAGGCUUGGUGUUGGGGGCCCUACGUGGGCGCUCAGUGCCGGAGUGAAGGUGUUAAGCCUGCCGCUUGGGGAGUAUGUCCGCAAGGAUGAAACUUAAAGGAAUUGGCGGGAGAGCACAGCAACGGGAGGAGCGUGCGGUUCAAUUGGAUUCAACGCCGUAAAACUCACCGGGAGC
rnacentral:rRNA from 1 species